GUGCAAGGUUUGAAAGGCAGAAAGGAGGCAGCAGCUGUGACUGGAGAGCGCUACAGUGUAAGGUGGUGAGAGACAGCUGCAGAGGCGCUGGUGGGUUGGCUUUCAUCUUCCGUCUUUCCUGCUGCAUGCCUGGUGCUUCUUCCUGCCAGCUUUACUGACCAACAGCAACUCCAACCCCAUUACCGAUGCUCGGCUGCAAGCUCAGAGCAAACCCACAUCAAGGGUGUCUGUUCGUGUUUGAAACUCAUCAGCAUCAGAAAGAGCUAACAUGUUGGCAGUAUCUAGAAAACCAUCAACAUGAUCAUGGGACAGUUCAUUUUGCUUUGCAGCUGAUGCCACCAUAGUGAGUGAGUACUCUGCUCUGUUCAUCUGAGCAGUCACUUUGCUUUUGCAAAGCAGUUGUGGAUUACUUCUGGGAUGUCAGUGUCCCAAAUGGCAAUGAGAUUUCUCAUCACAUCCAGAAUAUGCCACAUAAUGUACUGAGCAUUUUCAGCUCGGUACAUUAUAAUUUUUGGUAAUUUAUUGUCUCAGCCUAGUGGCUGCACACAGCCAUGCUGCUGGCAGGUAAAAAAGGCUACUCACUUGUUUUAACGUCCAAUGAAUGUGUGCAGUACAUUUACCAGUAACAGAACAUUUACAUUCUAGCA
rnacentral:lncRNA from 10 species